GCAGUUAUUACAACUGCAGAACUAAAAGAGCCUUCAUUUAUUUACUGAAAUGGCAGUUUUUCAUCCGUUGCCUCAGGGCAACAUUGUGCAGUUAGACCACAUUUGUGUUAACUAUAACACGCUCAUGGAUGAGGUGUGUAGGGAUGCAUAGCUAUCAACAUAAUCAAGUUUUUUGCUGUACUAUCUACUGUUACUCACAGGAAAUGGAAGCAUAAACAUUUUAUCCAUAUAAGGAACAUGAUCAAGCGGUCAGGCUCAUUCCUUCAGACAGUGAGGACAGUGAGCUUGAGGAGAGUGACAGUGAGGAAGACUGGACUCCAGAAUCAGUUGGCCUGUGGAUGAAGAGGAACAUGAAGAUGAAGUUUCACAGGAAGAUGUUCCAUGCUCACCCCGUUGGAGAACACCCCACAAUGCCAACAUCACUGAUUACCCAGAAUGG